UUUUUUUUUUUUUUUUUUUGAUAGAUUCUCACUCUGUCACCCAGGGUGGGGUGCAGUGCUGCAAUCUCAGGUCACUGCAACCUCCGCCUCUCUGGGUCAAUCAAUUCCCAUGCCACAACCACCAGAGUAGCUGGGAUUACAGCCUUGCACCUCCAUGCACGGCUAAUUUUUAUUAGGUUGGUGCAAAAGUAAUUGCGGUUUUGACCAUUACUUUAAAUUAAUAGUAGAGAUGGGGUUUCGCCAUAUUGGUCCUGAACUCCUGGCCUCGUGUAAUCUACCCGACUUGGCCUCCCAAAGUCCUGGGAUUACAGGAGUGAGCCAUCGCACCCGGCCUCAGAUUCAUCCUGUUUCUAAGAUCUCUGCUGAAUAUCCCGCCCUUCAGCAGGGUGAGUGAAGCCAAGAUAAAGAGCCCAUUUUCUGGGCUGCCCUUCAGUACAGGUGGAGAAGGUGGCCCAUGUGACAGGAGAUGGGGCACUCACCACCAAACGCCCCUCAGCACCCCCCUGGCAUGGCUCUUCUUCCUGCCUCUUCGACCCCCUAGAGCCCUGGACCUGGGCUGCACCCGAGGGUGGCACCUCACCUUCCACAGAUGGCAGAGUGAAAUGACAGCACCCUGGCCAUGGCAGCACAUGCUCACAGUCCCACCAGGACAGAACUGCUGGGAGCAGGGAGCGGUUGGAGUGGACCCAGGCUUUGGCCUACGGCAGGCCCUGAGCUCAGACGGGUGAAGGAGUUCAUAGUUGUCUGUCAUUAGAGUCGUUCUGCCUCUGGCUCAGCUGCUCAGGGCUGGGCAAAGCUGGCCACUGUCUCAGAAGGACCCACAGGUUGUCCCAGAAGACAGGGAGGGCCCUGGGUAGACUGGGCCCUGUUUACUCCUCUCAGGACAGAGUCUGGGUAAGUUGGCCAGAAAAGCCAUUGUCAUAAUUUGAGCUGGCCCACAAAGACAAGAGCUCAAGGAGCAAAAGUGCAGAUUGGUAUAAAUUGUCACAGUGUCCUGGAGGGGGCCUCUGAGGUCACUUGGUCAAAUGCCCACAGCGUCUUCUGGGGAAACCAGGAGUUGAAGGUUGUGCUGCCUGUGGGCCUCCCCCUCUGCUCUAGUCUCUUGGGGAGUGGGGUGGGGUGAGGAGGUUCCUAAUCUGGGUCCUGUCUGGAACCUCUUUCCUCCUGAUCACUGGACUCUAGGCCCUGAGUUUGACAGUUUUCCCGUCCAGGCAGAGGCUAACAAGACUCCUGCAUUCAUUUCCACCCAGGAUUGGCCUGCACAAGGCUCUUCUUUGGUCUUUAAACUUAUCCAUGUCAUUAAGCUCAUUUAUCUGUUCUCUGCUAUGCACACACUCAGUCAUGCCACCACCACCCCUGCCAUGUCUGCCAUGUUAGCAGGGCUGUGCGUGCCAGGGCACCUGGGUCUGUGAGGGUGCGGGCACCUCUAGACCUUCAAACUCAGCCGCAUCUCCCUUUUCCCCACUGGGCUCAUACACGUGGCUGCCCACC
rnacentral:lncRNA from 1 species